CAUGCACAACGUCAGCAGCUUGCAGCGAUUGCAAUACGAUCUGACACAGUGGCAAAACCAAAAGGAAGGAUGCUGAGUGACAAAAGGAGAGUCUCGUGGCCUAAGUUCAGGAGAGAGUCGACCUUUUUUAUUACCUCUCUAGAUACAGCUACACAACCCGACCAUGUAACUAGAGGAAGCAAGUCAGCUUAGGUUAGAAUUAUCUACUAUCAUGCAGAUCUAGCUACACAGUCCUGCUAGACACAUCGUUAUCAACUGGUGGAGAAACGACACCUGACCCCAACAUUUACGUAUAUCCGUCAAAUUCUCUAUAGAGUGGUCAUAUCGCCAACGCAGCUGCAACGUUGUUAGAUCCAAAAUGGUCUGUGACCGCUCCCUGACCUAACGACCGAGAUGUGUCCACAUGUCGUCAUUGUUGCAACAUUAUAUACUUUGUCUCAAAGCAUGGUAUAUAAGUUCGCAAGACAGGCACUCUAGUCAUUGUUGCUUUCAAGAAUCUUGUAGUGAGUGUACACAGUGGUUGAUCAUGAAUAUGUGGCAUUGCUUCGCUCUUGGCUUUCUUCUGGUAGCCCACGUUGAGAACGUAUUAGCGGGAAACUACGUUCAGGGCUUCAAUGUAAUGUCCAAAACAAAAAAUGAAUUUACGCCUGAUUUAAGGUUUGUAGCUAAGGUCGUUUUUGAGAGGAGAACCCUUGGGCGAGCCAUUUCCUAUCUCUGAUUCGAUGCAAAUUAUCGACUCUACUGAAUUAUACAGAAAAUAUGGGAGACAACGCUAUGCUGAAAACACCGUCUGUGAGUACCAUUUCAUUGUCGACAGGGUUGGAGUUUUGCAAUUUCACAAAAUUCAUCUCGAUCAACCGGUGUCCGAGUCGGAUGCUCUUGUAUCAUACGAUGAAUGCGAUAAAGCAACUCAUGCCGAGCGAAGAGACCGCGACUACAUUAAGCUGAAUGUCAACUUUGCGAGUGGCCGAUCAAACGUGUUCUGUGGCCAACAGAGUAGGCAUGUAAAACGUUUAAUACGAAGCCAGGAUUUGCCUGAAGUAAACGGGCAACGAGAAUUAAUCAUUACCUUCUGGUCGGAUGGCUCACAAACAGGUAAUGGUUUUUACGGCUACUAUUAUGGCACCAAGAAGUAACAAAAAUUAAAUAAAAAUUAAGACUGAAGGCCAUUUAUU